rnacentral:rRNA from 1 species
AUGAAGCAACGCACAGCUGCUGAAGAUGUCGAUAGGUGUGGCACGAGCAAACGCACUCGCUUCUGCAACAUAUGCCGAGAACCUGGUCACAAGAGCACAACUUGUCCGCAACGAGGAGGUCUUCCACCAAAGGAAAGGAACGAGGCUAAAUGCUCUAUAUGUGGUGUUGGUGGCCACAUGAGAAACACCUGCAACAAGCCAAAGGUUGUUCUAUAUGUUGCUGGGACAACUAACGUGGACACGAAUGCACUCACCAGUCUGAUUUGA